rnacentral:SRP_RNA from 1 species
AUGGAGGAUAAACUCGACAGAAGCCUAUGAACCUUGUCAGGUCCGGAAGGAAGCAGCAAUAAGUAGAUACUUUUGUGUGGGGGUAUCUUCCAUAGA